UCUCCUUCGCAGCUCUACGUUUUUUGGCGCUGAUAGCGCUCAGCUAUGGACAGCGAAGAUCCCUCUCCUCAAAUGGCAUCGCCUCUCGCGGCAACUGGCAAUGCGACGGCGGUGGAUUCUAAGGCUGGUCUGAUGAAUUACGAUGAGGCUGAGCCUAUUUGCCACCGUGAGGGCUGUGAAGCCCUAUCGAGGGCGAUUUCGUCGACGCUGGGUGCGGUGAUGAGCGAGUUCGAUUCCAGAGCUGAUGGCGCCUCUCGUAGCCAGGAUGAGUUGUGUUUGACGAUAGAUCGACUCACAGGAGAGUUAGACAAAUUACUGGAAGAUGCACCAUUGUCCUUCAUAAUGCAAAAUGCUGCCAAGAUUACAUCUGUUCGUAGGAGAGUUUCUGCUCUAAAUUUGGUGUUGAAAUCAAUACAGAGGCGUCUGGAUAACAUUGAUCGAAUGCUAUCUACUAGUUUACCUGAAGAGAAACGUCCUCCAGAUAUUGUCAAGGCUUCAUAAUUGGCUUUAUUAUUCAGCUAUGAAUAUUGGGGGAGAGGUCACUUAUGUGCCAGCUUUCUAGAAGAAUUUCAAACCUUUGAGCUGUUUAGACUCUAAUGAGUGUAGAUUCAUUGAAGGUCAUCACAUUUACUGGUGAUGCAAAAUAAGCCUAACACGAAAAAGAUCGCCGCCGCCGCCGCCGCCAAUAACAACAUUGAGUUUAAUCCCUUUUCUCGAUUGUGCCCUGUUAAGAGCUAGAUACUCGGCAAGACCCUUCCCUUUCCUAAAAUAUUUUAAGCAACAAUAUGAGUACAUGACUUAAUAACUCAACCGGUCUCCGCAAAAGAAUUCAAUUCACAAAUUGCAAUUUAAAUGAGCAAGAAUAUAAAAUUUAUAGUUUUAUUCUAACUUAUAAUAGAGCAUGAUUUGUACUAUAUACAGCACGACAACAAAACAAUUUUAAACUUACGUGCCGCCAUGGAUGCAAAAUGCAUAUGUUUCAA